rnacentral:lncRNA from 1 species
GGACGCCAGAUCCGCCAUCGACAGCACGUAUCUCCUCUUCUCCGCGUACCUCGUCUUCGCCAUGCAGCUGGGAUUCGCGAUGCUCUGCGCGGGAUCAGUGCGGGCCAAGAACACCAUGAACAUCAUGCUCACCAACGUGCUCGACGCCGCCGCGGGGGGGAUCUCCUACUAUCUCUUCGGCUUCGCCUUCGCCUUCGGCGCCCCCUCUAACGGCUUCAUCGGCCGCCAUUUCUUCGGCCUCAAGGACAUCCCCGCCGCAGGCGCCGACUACCCCUUCUUCCUCUACCAGUGGGCCUUCGCCAUAGCAGCGGCCGGGAUCACCUCCGGCUCGAUCGCCGAGCGGACUCAGUUCGUCGCCUACCUCAUCUACUCCUCUUUCCUCACCGGCUUCGUCUACCCGGUCGUCUCUCACUGGUUCUGGUCCGCCGACGGCUGGGCCAGCCCCAGCCGCCCCGAUAAUCUCCUCUUCGGAAGCGGAUCCAUCGACUUCGCGGGAUCGGGGGUCGUCCACAUGGUCGGCGGCAUCGCCGGCCUGUGGGGCGCCCUGAUCGAGGGGCCUCGCAUCGGGCGCUUCGACCACACUGGCCGUUCCGUCGCCCUGCGCGGCCACAGCGCCUCCCUGGUGGUGCUCGGCACCUUCCUCCUCUGGUUCGGAUGGUACGGCUUCAACCCGGGGUCCUUCCUCGUCAUCCUCAAGAACUACGGCGACCCCGGGUCCCCGAACGGGCAGUGGUCCGCGGUGGGGCGCACCGCCGUCACCACCACCCUCGCCGGCUGCGCCGCCGGGCUCACCACCCUCUUCGGGAAGCGCCUCCUCUCGGGGCACUGGAACGUGACCGACGUCUGCAACGGGCUU